GGUCAGGGUUAGAUCCAGCAUGGACCGCUGAACGGUCUUGAAAACCGUCGUCGCAGCGAUGUGACCGUGGGUUCAAAUCCCACACCCACCG
rnacentral:tRNA from 1 species